rnacentral:rRNA from 1 species
UACGAAGGGUGCAAGCGUUACUCGGAAUCACUGGGCGUAAAGCGUGCGUAGGCGGUUUCUUAAGUCUGUCGUGAAAGCCCUGGGCUCAACCUGGGAAUUGCAGUGGAUACUGGCUCACUAGAAUGUGGUAGAGGGUAGCGGAAUUCCUGGUGUAGCAGUGAAAUGCGUAGAGAUCAGGAGGAACAUCCGUGGCGAAGGCGGCUACCUGGACCAACAUUGACACUGAGGCACGAAAGCGUGGGGAGCAAACAGG